rnacentral:lncRNA from 1 species
UGGGGUGAAAUUAUGAUAAGAAAAUCCAGUCUAUUAGACUGAACAGUUUCUUGACAGGAAGUUGGCCAAGGGACAGGGGUGGAAGCCCUGUGGCUCAGGGCACCCCGAACUAGGCUGGACAAAAGACCCUACAAACAUACAGAAUGGAACAGUCCUGCACUGGGAGUGGCACCAAACAGCCUAAUGUCUUCACGUCUAGGAUUCUCAGACCGCCCCAGGAGUGCUCCUCAGGCAAGGGCUGUAGAGCUGACAGCUUUCAAAUCCUCAGGGUUCUGAGAGGCGCUUUUCCAGGUGAUGCCCAGCCCUGCCCCCUUCUCCCCCGGGCUCUCCAAACAGAAGGCAGGUCCGUGGAAGCCGGGCACAGCGGCCAUCUUGAUUUCCUCCUGGAGACCCACAACGUCCCACGCCAUUGAACAUGUGUUUUUUACUUCCGGCACGUGCAGCUAAAACCAAGGCACGCCUGGGGCAUCCGGGCAGGCAGGAGGACUUCCCUGACCUGCUCCUCGCUGACCAUUCACACGUGACCUGCUUCCCUUGCCCCUGGCGUUAGCCCUACUGUAAUGGGCGGCAGCCGCUCCUCCCUGGGCCUUGGUUAGGUAGCCCCACGCUGCUUUGCUAGUCUGCCAUUAGACGGGGAGGGACAAACUUUGAAAGGUUCAGCUAAAACACCCCCCAGAAGCUGUUUUCCCAACUGUGAUUGGAACCCCAAUGGUCCGGUGAGGCUAGUGAGCAAAGCUACUCUCCAGCCCCCGGCCGGUUCAUGUCCCCCAAGGAGAGGUGGGGAUUGCAGCCCCAUGUCCUCACUUGGUGCAGGCCCGCUGAGUAAUCAGAGACAUGUAAGGCUGGAAGGGCCUUGAGAAGUCACCAAGUCCAGCCCCCUGCACUGAAACAAGACUACGUCAACCUGGCUGCCCCACUUCCCAGCCAGCUGAGGGCUCUGCCAGCUUUCCCUGCCCCCCAACUCUUGCCUGGUAGAGCAGCUAAAGCUCAGGGGCUUUCCAUACAGGGCAAAAGCUGAAAUGACUCAUUCCAUGAAAAGACCAUGCAGGGCUCUGGAGAGGCUGAAGGCUCAACCUGAGACACUCAGUCAGUGGGACGUGGCACCAUCGUGAAAUGGGGGGUGUAACAUCAGGGCAGAACUAGGUGUGUCUAGCUAGAAUAGUGUCGUUUCUGGCUCACUGGCCAGGGCAAGACCCAGUCCUUUCAUGUUAGUUCUGUCCUUCGUGCACUAGCUGGGCUGGAGGCAAAGUGAAGGAAAAGGUAAUGCGCUCCCCUUCCCACUCACUCAUCUCCUGCCUGAGCACGGCCUGUUAAAAGGCAGCACACAAAGUAGCCCUCGCAAUGCACUAGCCCCCUCGUGUUCUGUACACACAAUAAAACGUUCCCUCCCCUUAACUGCA